GACGAACGCUGGCGGCGUGCUUAACACAUGCAAGUCGAACGGUGAAGGGACUGGUUUUGCUGGUCCUGGAUGAGUGGCGAACGGGUGAGUAACACGUGAGUAACCUGCCCCCUUCUUCUGGAUAACCGCAUGAAAGUGUGGCUAAUACGGGAUAUUCUGGGUCUGUCGCAUGGUGGGCCUGGGAAAGAUUGCGCCUUUUUUGGUGUUUUUGGUGGGGGAUGGGCUCGGGGCCUAUCAGCUUGUUGGGGGGGUGAUGGCCUACCAGGGCGGUGACGGGUAGGCGGCCUGAGGGGGUGGCCGGCACAAGUGGGGCUGCGAACCGGCCGAGACUCCUACGGGGGGCAGCCGGGGGGAAUAUUGCACAGUGGGGGAAAGCCUGCUACGGCGGCGCCGCGGGAGGGGUGGCGCCCUGGGGGUGUUGAAGCUCUUCGGCCAGUGAAGCGGGCUCGCCUUUUUUUGUGGGUGGGUGAACGGAAGGGGGAAAAAAACGCCGGGUAAACUCGGG
rnacentral:rRNA from 1 species